rnacentral:rRNA from 1 species
AUUGAACGCUGGCGGCAGGCUUAACACAUGCAAGUCGAGCGGGGUGAUGGUGCUUGCACUAUCACUUAGCGGCGGACGGGUGAGUAAUGCUUAGGAAUCUGCCUAUUAGUGGGGGACAACAUCUCGAAAGGGAUACUAAUACCGCAUACGUCCUACGGGAGAAAGCAGGGGAUCACUUGUGACCUUGCGCUAAUAGAUGAGCCUAAGUCGGAUUAGCUAGUUGGUGGGGUAAAGGCCUACCAAGGCGACGAUCUGUAGCGGGUCUGAGAGGAUGAUCCGCCCCACUGGGACUGAGACACGGCCCAGACUCCUACGGGAGGCAGCAGUGGGGAAUAUUGGACAAUGGGGUGAACCCUGAUCCAGCCAUGCCGCGUGUGUGAAGAAGGCGUUAUGGUUGUAAAGCACUUUAAGCGACGAGGAGGCUCUUUUGGUUAAUACCCAGAAUGAGUGGACGUUACUCGCAGAAUAAGCACCGGCUAACUCUGUGCCAGCAGCCGCCGUAAAAC